rnacentral:snRNA from 1 species
AUCGAUUCUCAGCCUUUUGGCUAAGAUCAAGUGUAGUAUCUGUUCUUAUCAGUUUAAUAAAUAUUAACCCCAUUGUAACUAUG